UACGUAGGGUGCAAGCGUUAAUCGGAAUUACUGGGCGUAAAGCGUGCGCAGGCGGUUAUGUAAGUCAGGUGUGAAAUCCCAGGGCUUAACCUUGGAACUGCAUUUGUGACUGGCUCGCUGGAGUGCGGCAGAGGGGGAUGGAAUUCCGCGUGUAGCAGUGAAAUGCGUAGAUAUGCGGAGGAACACCGAUGGCGAAGGCAAUCCCCUGGGCCUGCACUGACGCUCAUGCACGAAAGCGUGGGGAGCAAACAGG
rnacentral:rRNA from 1 species